CUACGAAGGGGGCUAGCGUUGUUCGGAAUCACUGGGCGUAAAGCGCGCGUAGGUGGAUCAAUUAGUUGAGGGUGAAAUCCCGGGGCUCAACCUCGGAACUGCCUUCAAUACUGUUGAUCUUGAGACCGAGAGAGGUGAGUGGAAUUCCUAGUGUAGAGGUGAAAUUCGUAGAUAUUAGGAAGAACACCAGUGGCGAAGGCGGCUCACUGGCUCGGUACUGACGCUGAGGUGCGAAAGCGUGGGGAGCAAACAGGAUUAGAUACCCGAGUAGUCC
rnacentral:rRNA from 1 species